rnacentral:rRNA from 1 species
CGCGUGGGAACAUACCUCUUGGUACGGAAUAGCCUCUGGAAACGGAGAGUAAUACCGUAUGUGCCCUUCGGGGAAAAGAUUUAUCGCCAAGAGAUUGGCCCGCGUCUGAUUAGGUAGUUGGUGGGGUAACGGCCCACCAAGCCGACGAUCAGUAGCUGGUUUGAGAGGAUGAUCAGCCACACUGGGACUGAGACACGGCCCAGACUCCUACGGGAGGCAGCAGUAGGGAAUCUUAGACAAUGGGGGCAACCCUGAUCUAGCCAUGCCGCGUGAGUGAUGAAGGCCUUAGGGUUGUAAAGC